rnacentral:rRNA from 1 species
AGCUCCAAUAGCGUAUAUUAAAGUUGUUGCAGUUAAAAAGCUCGUAGUUGAAUUUCAAGUUCCUUUUUGUUUCGGGCCACUGUGUCUCUAUGGCCAGUGUUGCUUUUCCGAAACGGGAACUUUAUUUCUGCUAGGCGCCCGUUUCUUCCAGUUCUGCUGGCGGAGGCGGUUUGUUGCCUAGCACUUUUACUUUGAAAAAAUUAGAGUGUUCAAAGCAGGCUUUUUAAGCUUGAAUAUCUUAGCAUGGAAUAAUAGAAUAGGACUUUGGUUCUAUUUUGUUGGUUUCUAGGACUAGAGUAAUGAUUAAUAGGGAUAGUUGGGGGCAUUAGUAUUUAAUUGUCAGAGGUGAAAUUCUUGGAUUUAGGAAAGACUAACUUCUGCGAAAGCAUUUGCCAAGGAUGUUUUCA